UGAUACACAGAGAUUCUUAAAAGAGGAGGG
rnacentral:piRNA from 1 species